GAGGGUAUGGUUCAGUGGUAAAAGUGCCUGCUUAGCAUGCACGGGGUCCUGGGUUCAAUCCCUAGUACCUCCG
rnacentral:tRNA from 1 species